CUGGCGGCGUGCCUAACACAUGCAAGUCGAACGGAGUAGAGAGCUUCGGUUUUCUGCUUAGUGGCGAACGGGUGAGUAACGCGUGAGGAACCUGCCUUCCAGUGGGGGACAACAGUUGGAAACGACUGCUAAUACCGCAUAACGCAACGAGAUCGCAUGAUCAUGUUGCCAAAGCUUUAUGUGCUGAGAGAUGGUCUCGCGUCUGAUUAGCUAGAUGGCGGGGUAACGGCCCACCAUGGCGACGAUCAGUAGCCGGUCUGAGAGGAUGAACGGCCACAUUGGGACUGAGAUACGGCCCAGACUCCUACGGGAGGCAGCAGUGGGGAAUCUUCCGCAAUGGACGAAAGUCUGACGGAGCAAUGCCGCGUGAGUGAUGAAGGUUUUCGGACCGUAAAGCUCUUUUGUUUAUGACGAAUGUGCAUAAUGUGAAUAAUGUUGUGUAAUGACGGUAGUAAACGAAUAAGCCACGGCUAACUACGUG
rnacentral:rRNA from 1 species